AUAUAUUUUCCUCCUGACUAUGCACAAUGUUCUAAUAUAUAUACAUAUAUUAGAACAUUGUGCAUAGUCAGGAGCAAAUUGAUAGU